rnacentral:lncRNA from 1 species
AAUCUAUACGAAUGCCCUUCGACUGCUCGCCGAAGUCCUUUUUGUCCCAGCCGGUAGGUCUCUAGACGUUACAGAGAACCCCGAACAACCCAAACUGCUAAUCUUCGAUACCGCUUUAUACUCACGAUCUUGUUUCCACUGACUGUCUCGUUAGAUUAAUCCAAUAAAUUUCAUUCACUCCGCAUACUCAAUCCUAUAGACAUCCUUUUAAUUCUUCAUCACAGACGUAACUCGAUUUCACAAAAUAGUCAAGAGUAAUCAAACCCACUUCAUUAAAAAUCCCGAUUCACCAUUACAACACUGACUUCAGCAACGAUUGCCUCAGUCUUCCCAAAUCCUAUGAAGAAAAGAAAACCCAAUUCUCUGUCUUCUUUCCCCGCUCAAAGCAUGAAGCUAGCUCUCUGAUUCUGCAAAAAAAA